rnacentral:rRNA from 1 species
GAUGAACGCUAGCGGCAGGCUUAAUACAUGCAAGUCGAGGGGCAGCAGGGGUAGCAAUACUCGCUGGCGACCGGCAAACGGGUGCGGAACACGUACGCAACCUUCCCAAAACUGGUGAAUAGCCCUCCGAAAGGAGGAUUAAUACACCGUAACAUAAUGAAGUGGCAUCACUUUAUUAUUAUAGCUCCGGCGGUUUUGGAUGGGCGUGCGCCUGAUUAGGUAGUUGGCGGGGUAACGGCCCACCAAGCCUGCGAUCAGUAACUGGUGUGAGAGCACGACCAGUCACACGGGCGACUGAGAC